rnacentral:rRNA from 1 species
AUUGAACGCUGGCGGAAUGCUUUACACAUGCAAGUCGAACGGCAGCACGGGGCAACCUGGUGGCGAGUGGCGAACGGGUGAGUAAUACAUCGGAACGUGCCCAAUCGUGGGGGAUAACGUAGCGAAAGUUACGCUAAUACCGCAUACGAUCUACGGAUGAAAGCGGGGGAUCGCAAGACCUCGCGCGAAUGGAGCGGCCGAUGUCAGAUUAGGUAGUUGGUGGGGUAAAGGCUCACCAAGCCAACGAUCUGUAGCUGGUCUGAGAGGACGACCAGCCACACUGGAACUGAGACACGGUCCAGACUCCUACGGGAGGCAGCAGUGGGGAAUUUUGGACAAUGGGCGCAAGCCUGAUCCAGCCAUUCCGCGUGCAGGAUGAAGGCCUUCGGGUUGUAAAC